AUUGAACGCUGGCGGCAGGCCUAACACAUGCAAGUCGAGCGAGCGGCGGAAGGGUGAGUAAUGCCUAGGAAUCUGCCUGGUAGUGGGGGAUAACGUACGGAAACGGGCGCAAAUACCGCAUAAUAUCAGAUGAGCCCAGAUGGGAUUAGCUAGUUGGUGGGGUAACGGCUCAGCAAGGCGACGAUCCCUAGCUGGUCUGAGAGGAUGACCAGCCACACUGGAACUGAGACACGUUCCAGACUCCUACGGUCGGCAGCAGUGGGGAAUAUUGCACAAUGGGCGCAAGCCUGAUGCAGCCAUGCCGCGUGUAUGAAGAAGGCCUUCGGGUUGUAAAGUACUUUCAGCGGGGAGGCGUUACCCGCAGAAGAAGCACCGGCUAACUCCGUGCCAGCAGCCGCGGUAAUUC
rnacentral:rRNA from 1 species